GGCACGAGCGUGGCAGCGGGCUCGGGAAUGCGUAUGGUGCAGGAUUUAAUGGUGAUUACUGGGAGUAGAGGGUGAGAAGGCGGCUUAUUAAGGCAGAUGUGAAAUCCCAAGGCUGAACCUAGGAACUGACUGUGAAACUAAUAAACUAGAGGUUCGUAAAGGGAGGUAGAAUUCCCGGUGUAGCGGUGAAAUGCGUAGAUAUCUGGAGGAAUACCAGUGGCGAAGGCGACCUCCUGGACGAAAACUGACGCUCAAGCACGAAAGCAUGGGGAGCAAACAGGAUUAGAUACCCCAGUAGUC
rnacentral:rRNA from 1 species